rnacentral:rRNA from 1 species
CCUACGGGGGGCAGCAGUAGGGAAUAUUGCUCAAUGGGGGAAACCCUGAAGCAGCAACGCCGCGUGGAGGAUGAAGGUUUUCGGAUUGUAAACUCCUCUUGUUAGAGAAGAUAAUGACGGUAUCUAAAGAAUAAGCACCGGCUAACUCCGUGCCAGCAGCCGCGGUAAUACGGAGGGUGCAGGCGUUAUUCGGAAUCACUGGGCGUAAAGAGGGAGUAGGCGGGAUAGCAAGGCAGAUGUGAAAACCUAUGGCUUAACCAUAGAACUGCAUUUGAAACUGGUAUUCUAGAGUAUGGGAGAGGUAGGUGGAAUGCUUGGUGUAGCGGUAAAAUCCGUAGAGAUCAAGAGGAAUACUCAUUGCGAAGGCGACCUGCUAGAACAUAACUGACGCUGAUGCGCGAAAGCGUGGGGAGCAAACAGGAUUAGAUACCCGUGUAGUC